GGACUACAGGGGUAUCUAAUCCCGUUUGCUCCCCACGCUUUCGCGCCUCAGCGUCAGUUCCGGCCCAGGUGGCCGCCUUCGCCACCGGUGUUCCUCCCAAUAUCUACGCAUUUCACCGCUACACUGGGAAUUCCACCACCCUCUUCCGGACUCAAGCCCAGCAGUAUCUCCCGCACGUCCUCAGUUAAGCCGAGGGAUUUCACGAGAGACUUGAAGGACCGCCUACGCGCCCUUUACGCCCAAUAAUUCCGAAUAACGCUUGCCCCCUCUGUAUUACCGCGGCGGCUGGCAC
rnacentral:rRNA from 1 species